GUGUCUAUGGUGUAAUGGUUAGCACUCGGGCUUGUGGAGCCUGCAGUGAGGGUUCGAAUCCCUUUAGACACC
rnacentral:tRNA from 1 species